rnacentral:rRNA from 1 species
AACGAACGCUGGCGGCAUGCCUAACACAUGCAAGUCGAACGAGACCUUCGGGUCUAGUGGCGCACGGGUGCGUAACGCGUGGGAACCUGCCCUUAGGUUCGGAAUAACUCCCCGAAAGGGGUGCUAAUACCGGAUAAUGUCUUCGAACCAAAGAUUUAUCGCCUUUGGAUGGGCCCGCGUUGGAUUAGCUAGUUGGUAGGGUAAAAGCCUACCAAGGCGACGAUCCAUAGCUGGUCUGAGAGGAUGAUCAGCCACACUGGGACUGAGACACGGCCCAGACUCCUACGGGAGGCAGCAGUGGGGAAUAUUGGACAAUGGGCGAAAGCCUGAUCCAGCAAUGCCGCGUGAGUGAUGAAGGCAGUAGGGUUGUAAAGCUCUUUUACCCGGGAUGAUAAUGACAGUACCGGGAGAAUAAGCUCCGGCUAACUCCGUG